rnacentral:rRNA from 1 species
GACGAACGCUGGCGGCGUGCUUAACACAUGCAAGUCGAACGCUGAAGCUCAGCUUUUGUUGGGUGGAUGAGUGGCGAACGGGUGAGUAACACGUGAGUAACCUGCCCCCUUCUUUGGGAUAACGCCCGGAAACGGGUGCUAAUACUGGAUAUUCACUGGUCUUCGCAUGGGGGUUGGUGGAAAGGGUUUUUCUGGUGGGGGAUGGGCUCGCGGCCUAUCAGCUUGUUGGUGGGGUGAUGGCCUACCAAGGCUUUGACGGGUAGCCGGCCUGAGAGGGUGACCGGUCACAUUGGGACUGAGAUACGGCCCAGACUCCUACGGGAGGCGGCAGUGGGGAAUAUUGCACAAUGGGCGCAAGCCUGAUGCAGCGACGCCGCGUGAGGGAUGGAGGCCUUCGGGUUGUGAACCUCUUUUGCUCAUGGUCAAGCCGCAACAAUGGUUGUGGUGAGGGUAGUGGGUAAAGAAGCGCCGGCUAACUACGUG